UAGAGAUACGGUGUCCGAAAGGGUCCAGAACAGGUGGUGCAUGGCUGUCGUCAGCUCGUGUCGUGAGAUGUUGGGUUAAGUCCCGCAACGAGCGCAACCCUUGUCCUAUGUUGCCAGCACGUAAUGGUGGGGACUCGUAGGAGACUGCCGGGGUCAACUCGGAGGAAGGUGGGGACGACGUCAAGUCAUCAUGCCCCUUAUGUCCAGGGCUGCAAACAUGCUACAAUGGCUGGUACAAAGGGCUGCUAUACCGCGAGGUGGAGCGAAUCCCAAAAAGCCAGUCUCAGUUCGGAUUGGAGUCUGCAACUCGACUCCAUGAAGUCGGAGUCGCUAGUAAUCCCGGAUCAGCAACGCCGGGGUGAAUACGUUCCCGGGCCUUGUACACACCGCCCGUCACACCACGAAAGUCGGCAACACCCGAAGCCAGUGGCCUAACCCUUUGGGAAGGAGCUGUCGAAGGUGGGGUUGGCGAUUGGGGUGAAGUCGUAACAAGGUAGCCGUACCGGAAGGUGCGGCU
rnacentral:rRNA from 1 species